CAGCCGCGGUAAUACGUAGGGUGCAAGCGUUAAUCGGAAUUACUGGGCGUAAAGCGAGUGUAGGUGGCUCAUUAAGUCACAUGUGAAAUCCCCGGGCUUAACCUGGGAACUGCAUGUGAUACUGGUGGUGCUAGAAUAUGUGAGAGGGAAGUAGAAUUCCAGGUGUAGCGGUGAAAUGCGUAGAGAUCUGGAGGAAUACCGAUGGCGAAGGCAGCUUCCUGGCAUAAUAUUGACACUGAGAUUCGAAAGCGUGGGUAGCAAACAGGAUUAGAUACCC
rnacentral:rRNA from 14 species